AGUGGGAUGACGUCAAGUCAGCAUGGCCUUUAUAUCCUGGGCUACGACACACGCUACAAUGGGAAGGGACAAUAGGUUGCGAAGCCGCGAGGCGGAGCCAAUCCAGCAAAACUUCCCUCAGUUCAGAUUGCAGGCUGCAACUCGCCUGCAUGAAGUUGGAGUUGCUAGUAAACGCAGGUCAGCCAUACUGCGUUGAAUACGUUCCCGGGGCUU
rnacentral:rRNA from 1 species